UUUAUGGAAAUUUAUGCAAAUUAAGGGUUUUUUUACCCCCCCCCGCGGAGGUUUUUGAGGCUCGGAGCGGCCGCGCCCGCGGCUUUGGGGCGAAAUCCCUGGAAAAGGAGCGGGAAAAGCGCCGGGAAAAGGGAAAAAAAACCCCAGCGCCCUCAUUUUCCCUCAGUUUUCGGCAGCUCCUCCCUGAACUUUCACUUCUGGCUCGGAUUUAUG